rnacentral:rRNA from 1 species
UUUGGAGAGUUUGAUCCUGGCUCAGGACGAACGCUGGCGGCGUGCCUAAUACAUGCAAGUCGAGCGGAGUUGAUUUGAAAGCUUGCUUUCAAAUCAACUUAGCGGCGGACGGGUGAGUAACACGUAGGCAACCUGCCCCACAGACUGGGAUAACUACCGGAAACGGUAGCUAAUACCGGAUAAUUCCUUUUAGCUCCUGCUGAGAGGAUGGAAGACGGAGUAAUCUGUCACUGCGGGAUGGGCCUGCGGCGCAUUAGCUAGUUGGUGAGGUAAUGGCUCACCAAGGCGACGAUGCGUAGCCGACCUGAGAGGGUGAACGGCCACACUGGGACUGAGACACGGCCCAGACUCCUACGGGAGGCAGCAGUAGGGAAUCUUCCGCAAUGGGCGAAAGC